ensembl:lncRNA
GGUGACCCCGCCCACCGCCCCUCUUCCCUUACGGACCCUCAGCAAUAGCGGCUCCCGGGCUCGGUGCCUCCCGGGGAGUUCGUAACGGGGUGAGGCGGAGGGCCGCGGAGGUCCGAGGAGGUGAGCGUCGCCCUGUGCCCGCGGACGGAGGGGCCCGGUGCGUGCCGUGACUUUCCGUCAGCGCCGUAAGACGUGGAUUACGGUCACCGAGAGCGUUCUUUCAACGGUCUGCUUUCUACGGCGAGAUGCCGGCCGGCUGAGUCAGUGCUGAUUCACGGGAGAAGGCCGCACCGCACCGGGAGCGAAGGCGAACGGCAGGAAGGCAGCGCGUCCGGCCCCGCGAGCUGCCGGGGCGGAGCGGGCGGGACGGGGCCGGUGGGUAACCGCGCCGGAAAGCCCCCAAAGAGCCCGGGGGGGUUACCGAGAAGCUGCGGGACCGCCUACAGAACGGCUUCGUGCUUCAGGGCGGCCUCAGCACCACUGAAGCGGCCCCGGCUGAGCGACUGCGGGGCCGGGGCGUGGGUUAGGAACGCCGCGGCGGAACGGAAGACAGACGGUUUCCUCCUUCUCCCCCGUGCGCCUCAGCUUCUCGUUUAGAACACAAAAUCCCCGCGUCACAGCACGGAUCGGGAUGCUGGAAGCAGCCGCCCCGGGGCGCGGACAGACCUCCCGUUGGCGGCUCCCUGCUGCAGCAGCUGAUGCCAUUGCCGACGUGCCCUCUGCGGCACCCACCGGCGCUGUCUCCGCACGCAGGAAGCAUCAGUGGAAACACCAGAACUAAUUUUACCUCCAACAGCGGCUGGCCCUUCUAUUUCCAAGUGUUUGACCUUCACAUGACACGCUCCCAGCAUGAGUAACGGGACGUUAAUUACAAAACAAAGCUCCCAAACCCAGCAAAGGUGCUUGAAAGCCUCUAGGUUGCUUGCAGUGUGAGCAGCAGGAAAGUCAGACACUGGGAUAGAGGGAAUCCCGUCCCCUCUGGCUUGGUGAUAGCGGCCACCUCGCUGACCUGUGUCAGCUUAAGCUCCAGUCCUGUAAUGACUUCUAUUUGGAUAAGCAUCUGGAUGCAAAUUAACUCUCUGUGCUUCUUUCCUACAGGAAAUGGCUAAUGCAGCUUGCUCGUUACAUCAUUUCGUAUUUUAACACCCCUAGUAAUUAGUAACUCAUUGUAAUUUAUUGUUGGGUUUACAGAAAGGGCGUAACUCACUUGAAAAACGUUCAGAAUGUUUUACAACAAACACCAUCUAUCUUCUGGGGAGCCACAAGUGUGUACAGUGUGAUAAAGGCAAAGGACAAAGUAGCAGAGGAACACGUGAUAGAAACGAAGUUUCAUCAACAGUAGCACCUAACAAAUGAGGCUCAUUAAAAGAAUAUUUCUCCAGCUGCCCGCAUCCCCUGGAUACAUGAGCUUGAAAGCAGAGGAAGUAAUGGUGAGAUAAGAAGAGAGAGGGCACAGACAAAACACCGAGUGACUAAUUGUGCUGUAAGGAACGUCCUGAACUAAGAUUCCCUGGGGUGAGCAGAGGCUUGAGUUUGCAUGACCUUGGCUAUCAGCACGGAAAUACACAGCUACCCAUCACAGAAGGGUCAUACCUUCCUCUGUAAUUUACUUUUCCCUCAGCUCUCAUACUGUGACCACGCAGUGGCUUAACAGAACGUAGUGAUCAGUGCAUCCACUAUGUCCUUUGCAGCAACAGAAGCGCUUCUUCAACAAGCCUGGAUGGAAAUAUCUACUUUUCACUGGUUAUGGAUGCAGGCAAUGAAAUACUCAAUCAGGAGAGGGCAGAAGUCUUUUUUCUUUCUUUGACAGUAUAACGCAAAACAUUUGUUUUUAUUAUCUUGUGUGAUUUAGUAAAGCUUUGUAGAGUUGUUGUUUUUUUUCCCCUAUUAUUUUUCUUUAAUACUUGUAGAUCUGCAGCAAAGAGAACUGCGGUUGGAUUGAUGCAUGAUUUUAUUCACUCCAAUUGCAUUAGUGUGGCACAAAAGAGCUAAGUCUAGAAUUCUGACUCAUAAACACUUAAUUUUUC